UUGAGACUCCAGUUUCCAUGUGUUCACUAAAGCUAAGCAACAUCCAGCCUGGUUAGUACCUAGAUGGGUAACCUUUUGGGAAUACCAAGUGCUGUAAU